ACGAACGCUGGCGGCGUGCUUAACACAUGCAAGUCGAACGGAAAGGCCCUGCUUUUGUGGGGUGCUCGAGUGGCGAACGGGUGAGUAACACGUGAGUAACCUGCCCUUGACUUUGGGAUAACUUCAGGAAACUGGGGCUAAUACCGGAUAGGAGCUCCUGCUGCAUGGUGGGGGUUGGAAAGUUUCGGCGGUUGGGGAUAGACUCGCGGCUUAUCAGCUUGUUGGUGGGGUAGUGGCUUACCAAGGCUUUGACGGGUAGCCGGCCUGAGAGGGUGACCGGCCACAUUGGGACUGAGAUACGGCCCAGACUCCUACGGGAGGCAGCAGUGGGGAAUAUUGCACAAUGGGCGGAAGCCUGAUGCAGCAACGCCGCGUGCGGGAUGACGGCCUUCGGGUUGUAAACCGCUUUCGCCUGUGACGAAGCGUGAGUGACGGUAAUGGGUAAAGAAGCACCGGCUAACUACGU
rnacentral:rRNA from 1 species